AGAUCCCUUCGGGGUGACGCUUGUGGAAUGAGCGGCGGACGGGUGAGUAACACGUGGGCAACCUGCCUUGUAGACUGGGAUAACUCCGGGAAACCGGAGCUAAUACCGGAUGAUCAACGGAAUCGCAUGAUUCUGUUGUAAAAGUGGGGAGUAAUCCUCACACUACGAGAUGGGCCCGCGGCGCAUUAGCUAGUUGGUAAGGUAAUGGCUUACCAAGGCAACGAUGCGUAGCCGACCUGAGAGGGUGAUCGGCCACACUGGAACUGAGACACGGUCCAGACUCCUACGGGAGGCAGCAGUAGGGAAUCAUCCGCAAUGGGCGAAAGCCUGACGGUGCAACGCCGCGUGAACGAUGAAGGUUUUCGGAUCGUAAAGUUCUGUUAUGAGGGAAGAACAAGUGCCGUUCAAAUAGGGCGGCACCUUGACGGUACCUCACGAGAAAGCCCCGGCUAACUACGUGCCAGCAGCCGCGGUAAUACGUAGGGGGCAAGCGUUGUCCGGAAUUAUUGGGCGUAAAGCGCGCGCAGGCGGUCUCUUAAGUCUGAUGUGAAAGCCCACGGCUCAACCGUGGAGGGUCAUUGGAAACUGGGAGACUUGAGUGUAGGAGAGGAAAGUGGAAUUCCACGUGUAGCGGUGAAAUGCGUAGAUAUGUGGAGGAACACCAGUGGCGAAGGCGACUUUCUGGCCUACAACUGACGCUGAGGCGCGAAAGCGUGGGGAGCAAACAGGAUUAGAUACCCUGGUAGUCCACGCUGUAAACGAUGAGUGCUAGGUGUUAGGGGUUUCGAUGCCCUUAGUGCCGAAGUUAACACAUUAAGCACUCCGCCUGGGGAGUACGGCCGCAAGGCUGAAACUCAAAGGAAUUGACGGGGGCCCGCACAAGCAGUGGAGCAUGUGGUUUAAUUCGACGCAACGCGAAGAACCUUACCAGGUCUUGACAUCCUCUGAACAUCUAGGAGACUAGGUUUUCCCCUUCGGGGGACAGAGUGACAGGUGGUGCAUGGUUGUCGUCAGCUCGUGUCGUGAGAUGUUGGGUUAAGUCCCGC
rnacentral:rRNA from 1 species